CCGUCUCUUUUCACUUGACAUUGUACAUUUCAGUCAAACGCAUUUCAUUCACUUCACAUCCCCUGAACCUCACUCAUCUCCGCUAAACCUCAUCUCUCUUCGUUGAACCUCUCCUCUCUCUACUCAAACUCAUCGGCGAUUAGGUGAAUCGGGGAUCCUCUCCCCUCAAACCUAACUGUCAAUCGAUUAGGGUUUGGUUCUGGUUCAAUCAGGGCUUCGAUUCAGAGCCUCUUCAUGCCGCGAAAUUACUCUCGGUUUAUAGUUCCUUUUCUUCGUUUUGUUUUUCAUUUUGCUUUUCACCGUAAUGCUCUUAAUUUUGUGUCUUUAUUUUUCUUAGGGUUUUGAUUGAAUUGGGGCUUCACUGAAAUUAGGGCUUCAACAGUGUUUCACUUUAAUUGCAGCAUCGAUUUUCUUAGAUUUAAGGAAGUGGCGUAAUCAGUUACAUUAUGGGCAGACGCCGAAAAGAAGGUAGUAAACCUUGAUGGGCCAAAUCAAAAAGUCUGGCGUGUCCUCUACCAUAACAAACUUGGUGUUAAAGCUUUGACAGGCGGCUGGGAAAUUUGAAAUUUGAGUGUGGCUAAUUAUUCUUACUUUUAUUUGGUUUUGAAUUGUUAGGUAAUUUGAUUUGGUUGGAUUUGUUAUGACAUUUGUAUGAAAGAAUAGUGUAUUGGGAUGUUUAAUAUUUAAA